GACUCAGUGGUAUCAGCUACAGCAACUUGAUUCCAAGUAUUUGGAGCAAGUUCACCAGCUAUAUGAUGACAGCUUUCCUAUGGAGAUCAGGCAGUACCUGGCACAGUGGCUGGAAAACCAGGAUUGGGAGCAUGCAGCCAACAAUGUCUCAUUUGCUACACUGUUAUUCCACGACCUGCUGUCACAGCUUGAUGAUCAAUUUAGUAGAUUCUUGAUAGAAAACAACUUUUUGCUGCAGCACAACAUAAGGAAAAGCAAACGUAAUCUUCAGGAUAACUUCCAAGAAG